GUUGAAUAGAAGGUGUUGAAUAGAAGGUGUUGAAUAGAAGGUGUUGAAUAGAAGGUGUUGAAUAGAAGGAGUUGAAUAGAAGGAGUUGAAUAGAAGGAGUUGAAUAGAAGGUGUUGAAUAGAAGGUGUUGAAUAGAAGGUGUUGAAUAGAAGGUGUUGAAUAGAAGGUGUUGAAUAGGAGUUGAAUAGAAGGUGUUGAAUAGAAGGUGUUGAAUAGAAGGUGUUGAAUAGAAGGUGUUGAAUAGAAGGUGUUGAAUAGGAGUUGAAUAGAAGGUGUUGAAUAGAAGGUGUUGAAUAGAAGGAGUUGAAUAGAAGGAGUUGAAUAGAAGGUGUUGAAUAGAAGGUGUUGAAUAGAAGGUGUUGAAUAGAAGGAGUUGAAUAGAAGGAGUUGAAUAGAAGGAGUUGAAUAGAAGGAGUUGAAUAGAAGGAGUUGAAUAGAAGGAGUUGAAUAGAAGGAGUUGAAUAGAAGGAGUUGAAUAGAAGGUGUUGAAUAGAAGGUGUUGAAUAGAAGGAGUUGAAUAGAAGGAGUUGAAUAGAAGGAGUUGAAUAGAAUAGAAG